rnacentral:rRNA from 1 species
UACGUAGGGGGCAAGCGUUGUCCGGAAUCAUUGGGCGUAAAGAGCGUGUAGGCGGCUCGAUAAGUCUGCUGUGAAAGUCCAGGGCUCAACCCUGGAAGGCCGGUGGAAACUGUCGGGCUAGAGUCCGGAAGAGGCGAGUGGAAUUCCCGGUGUAGCGGUGAAAUGCGCAGAUAUCGGGAGGAACACCAAUGGCGAAGGCGGUUACCUGGAGCUUUGCUGACGCUGAUGCGCGAAAGCGUGGGGAGCGAUCCGG